rnacentral:rRNA from 1 species
CCUACGGGAGGCAGCAGUGGGGAAUAUUGGGCAAUGGGCGCAAGCCUGACCCAGCAACGCCGCGUGAGGGAAGAAGGCUUUCGGAUUGUAAACCUCUGUCUUUGGGGAAGAAAAUGACGGUACCCAAAGAGGAAGCUCCGGCUAACUACGUGCCAGCAGCCGCGGUAAUACGUAGGGAGCGAGCGUUGUCCGGAAUUACUGGGUGUAAAGGGAGCGUAGGCGGGCGAGAAAGUUGAAUGUUAAAUCUACCGGCUUAACUGGGAGCUGCGUUUAAAACUUCUUGUCUUGAGUGAAGUAGAGGCAGGCGGAAUUCCUAGUGUAGCGGUGAAAUGCGGAGAUAGUAGGAGGAACACCAGUGGCGAAGGCGGCCUGCUGGGCUUUAACUGACGCUGAGGCUCGAAAGCGUGGGGAGCAAACAGGAUUAGAUACCCCGGUAGUC